GUUGAAAAUUCCAACCCGAAAAUGACCCAUACAACCCGAAAACAUUUAAUUUAAAUAAAAAAAAAAACAACUUUCAGCCCAACCCAAAUUCGAAUAAAGCCCCCUUAUAAACUCAAAAACCCUAAAAACUCCUAUUCUCUUUCAUUUUCUCUCAGCCGUCAUUUGCCUUCAUUCUCUCUCUUAAACUUCCUCUAUCUUUAACCCCUAAAAUCCUCUUCUAUCCUUGAAUAUUUUUAAAUCAUUCUAUGCCUCCUGAUAUUGUACACGCCACUAAGCCUCUUCUUAGCCUCUCCUUUGUCUAUCCAAGCAAAUAGCGGCCAAUCAAAUCCAUCUCAAAGAAGAGAAGAUAAAUUACAUUCAUGAAGGAUGGGCAAAACAAAGUGAAUUAAAGAUUGUACUUAAAAAUUAGUGUAGCAUUUGAAAUUCAAUUUGUUAUUCAUUAAUUAGAUUUGGUUUGUAAUCCUUUAUGUACAUUUAUUAGACUAUUUUGUUUAAGAUUGAA